rnacentral:rRNA from 1 species
GAUGAACGCUGGCGGCGUGCCUAAUACAUGCAAGUCGAGCGAACAGACGAGGAGCUUGCUCCUCUGACGUUAGCGGCGGACGGGUGAGUAACACGUGGAUAACCUACCUAUAAGACUGGGAUAACUUCGGGAAACCGGAGCUAAUACCGGAUAAUAUAUUGAACCGCAUGGUUCAAUAGUGAAAGACGGUUUUGCUGUCACUUAUAGAUGGAUCCGCGCCGCAUUAGCUAGUUGGUAAGGUAACGGCUUACCAAGGCAACGAUGCGUAGCCGACCUGAGAGGGUGAUCAGCCACACUGGAACUGAGACACGGUCCAGACUCCUACGGGAGGCAGCAGUAGGGAAUCUUCCGCAAUGGGCGAAAGCCUGACGGAGCAACGCCGCGUGAGUGAUGAAGGUCUUCGGAUCGUAAAACUCUGUUAUUAGGGAAGAACAAAUGUGUAAGUAACUAUGCACGUCUUGACGGCACCUAAUCAGAAAGCCACGGCUAACUACGUG